AUCAUACCAGCACUAAUGCACUGGAUCCUAUCAUAACUCCACAGUUAAACGUGUUUGGAUAAGAGUAGUAUUAAGAUGAAUGACCUCUCGAAAAACCCUCGUAU
rnacentral:rRNA from 2 species